UCUGUGUAGCUCAGUAGUAGAGCACAUGGCUAGCAUGCAUGAGGACUUGGGUUCAAUCCCAGCACCAAAA
rnacentral:tRNA from 1 species